UACGUAGGGUGCAAGCGUUAUCCGGAAUUAUUGGGCGUAAAGAGCUCGUAGGCGGUUUGUCGCGUCUGCUGUGAAAACUGGAGGCUCAACCUCCAGCCUGCAGUGGGUACGGGCAGACUAGAGUGCGGUAGGGGAGAUUGGAAUUCCUGGUGUAGCGGUGGAAUGCGCAGAUAUCAGGAGGAACACCAAUGGCGAAGGCAGAUCUCUGGCCGUAACUGACGCUGAGGAGCGAAAGCGUGGGGAGCGAACAGG
rnacentral:rRNA from 1 species